UACGAAGGGGGCUAGCGUUGCUCGGAAUCACUGGGCGUAAAGGGUGCGUAGGCGGGUCUUUUAAGUCAGGGGUGAAAUCCUGGAGCUCAACUCCAGAACUGCCUUUGAUACUGAGGAUCUUGAGUUCGGGAGAGGUGAGUGGAACUGCGAGUGUAGAGGUGAAAUUCGUAGAUAUUCGCAAGAACACCAGUGGCGAAGGCGGCUCACUGGCCCGAUACUGACGCUGAG
rnacentral:rRNA from 1 species